rnacentral:rRNA from 1 species
AUUGAACGCUGGCGGCAUGCUUUACACAUGCAAGUCGAACGGUAACAGGCCUUCGGGUGCUGACGAGUGGCGAACGGGUGAGUAAUGCAUCGGAACAUACCCAGUCGUGGGGGAUAACGUAGCGAAAGUUACGCUAAUACCGCAUACGUCCUGAGGGAGAAAGCGGGGGAUCGCAAGACCUCGCGCGAUUGGAGUGGCCGAUGUCAGAUUAGCUAGUUGGUGGGGUAAAGGCCCACCAAGGCGACGAUCUGUAGCGGGUCUGAGAGGAUGAUCCGCCACACUGGGACUGAGACACGGCCCAGACUCCUACGGGAGGCAGCAGUGGGGAAUUUUGGACAAUGGGGGAAACCCUGAUCCAGCCAUGCCGCGU